CAGAACUAUUGCCCCAUGCCCCACGAACCCACGGCAUAGCGCAAGCCCACCAGCCCCAUCAUCUUUACCGUAUCCCACCCCACCGUGAGAUCAGAGCUACUACCACCACCACUCCAUGACCAAUCAAAAGCCACCACCGCUUCACUCCACCGGACACCACCGCCAUGUCAACAGUCCUACUCAUAUCAUAUCAUCCACACUUGGCACAACAACUACAGACCACUAGGCCAGAUCAAAUCCCUCCUUGCACAACAGAUCGGAGUAGUAUUAUUAUAUGUAUCCAAAAGACCUAAAUCAACCAACUAUAGAUGAAUAAAUUAUCCAUUUAUGUGUGUGUAUAUAUAUAUAUAUACAUAUUUAUGCCCAAUCUACAGAACAAAUCCAAUUCCUCUAGAGCGGUGGUUCUUGAUGAAGCAAUUCGCAAUUGGUGGUGGUUUGCAACGAUGGGAUUUGCGAUUUCCAGUGGUUAGCUAUGAGCAAUGGCUGUAGUGGUUAGCUAUGUAUAUAUAUAUAUACAUAUUUGUUCCUUUUCACUUCCUAUCUUGGUUUAACUUCGUUGUUUCUGGGUUCACAGAUUACAGCCCAAACUCCAAAAUCUAGUAUGUAAUGUAGCGGUUUUCUACUCAUUUUCUGCUAUAUAAGGAUAUAUUGAUAUCUGAUUUGCAUGCUUCAGUUCUCAUGGUUGCCUGUUAGUGCAUAAACAAAUUAGGCACACCAACUGUUCGACAAUAUGCCUGAAUAUACAGACUAAAAUAUUAGAGGACUUUCCUAAUUGAAAACUUACUAACAUAAUCAUAUAUAUAUAUAUAUAUAUUCAAAUUCAAGCUUGCAAUAAAACCCCAUCUAUGCUCAACAACGCAAAAUAAAUGCAAUCAAUGAGAGCCAUUGUUGUGAGCAACAAAUGAGCAUAACCUGUUUACUCACAAAACAACCCAUUGAAAAUGGGUGAAUAUUCAUAAAAGUUAGAGACCUUAUAUUUAGAAACUAUACUAAUGAUGCUAAAGACUUCUAUCUCCACUAACAAAAUUGAUGGAUUUCUAGCUUUAAAGACAUUACAUUAAAAUUCAAAAAACAAAGCAUUGAAAACUUAGGGCUGGUUUGGCAUAGACUAUAUAAUCCAUCUUUUUAUCUUUUUAUUUUUUUCCCAUCACAUUACCUCUCUACUUUUCUGCACAUCUUUUCGUAAAAAGACAAAAAGUACACUUUUUUAGGACAUCCCAAACCUUAUUAUUCUUAGAUGCAAAAAUAUUUCAUUGUGAUUCUUCAUUUUCAUGGGGUUACUUUUGGGUUUCCUCCAACUUGAUUUGGGUUAUAAACCACAGGCAAAAAUGGUGUCCCUCCCAAUUGUGUUAUUCAGUUUGAAGUGGAUCUCAUCUCAUGGAUCAUAGAUGUUGGCAAGGAUGGUGGAAUUUUUAAGAAAGUGAUGGAGAAGGGAGAACAAAUUGGUCCAGCCAGUGAUUUAGAUGAAGUUUCGUGAAGUAUCAAGUGAGUCUGGAUGAUGGUGCUAUGGUUGCAACAACACUAGAAGGGAGUCGGAUUUCAUGUGAAAGCCAUUUUUGUCCGGCAUUGCCAAAAGCACUCAAGACCAUGAGAAAUGGAGAGAAGGUCAAUCUAAUUAUUCAACCUAAGUAGAUGUCCUCCCUGUUAGUUACAACUCACAUGCAUGCAGAGGAGAGAGUCCAAAGAAGAUGGCGUACGAAGAUGUGUACAGGCACCAGACCGCGGCUAGGAGCAUCAGGGUACUCCAGUUUUGUCAAGCC